UAUAUAGUGAAAACAAUAAUGGUCCUAAAACGGAACCUUGAGGAACACUGAAAUUUACAGUUGAUUUGUUAGAGGACAAACCAUUCACAGAGACAAACUGAUAUCUUUCCGACAGAUAAGAUCUAGGCCUAUGUAUUUUAUUUCAAUAUCCUACUACAAUUUACAAACCCCUAUAUUUAUUCCAUUUAUUUAAAUAGUCAGAUAGUCAAACAUUAUUGCACCUGAAUUUGACCCUGACAAUUAUAUUGUGUAAAGCUUUUGAGCAAUUCAAAUUACUGCACGCAUUGUUAUUUUAAUGUCAGUAGCUAAAUGAGGAGGUAGGCAUAUCUGUUCCAACUAAAAUUUGGAUUGGAAUCGGUGCUAGCAGCAAUAUAUCUCUGUGCGCGGUGCAGGCAGCUUGAGCAAUCAAGUGCAUUGCUCAAGAAUCAUUGGGACAGAGCGCCUGGUAGGUUACACAACAACACAGCUGGAAAACAAUGACAGCUUCGAAAUAUGCACAAAAAACUUUGAUAACAUUCUCCUGCAUUGUUGUUUUACUUUUGUAAGUAAGGCGGCGGUUUGUUGGGGAGAAGAACUUCAUGAGGAAUUUUGCUAGCUGGCUAAUUUUAGCUAGCUAACAUUAGCUCUCUAGCUAAUCAUCCAUGGACAUGAUCUGACCCAUCACACCACUAUUCAAGAAGGCCACUAUGCUCCAGAUCGCCUUCUCUGCGGUCCUCGAUGAGGAUCUACCCGAUUACACCACUCUUAUUAGGCAUUAAUAAAAAAUCCCAAUGUGCAUUUA